UACGUAGGGUGCGAGCGUUAAUCGGAAUUAUUGGGCGUAAAGCGUGCGCAGGCGGUUUUGUAAGCCAGAUGUGAAAUCCCCGGGCUUAACCUGGGAAUGGCAUUUGGGACUGCAAGGCUCGAGUGCGGCAGAGGAGACUGGAAUUCCUGGUGUAGCAGUGAAAUGCGUAGAUAUCAGGAGGAACACCGAUGGCGAAGGCAGGUCUCUGGGCUGACACUGACGCUCAUGCACGAAAGCGUGGGGAGCAAACAGG
rnacentral:rRNA from 1 species